AAAUGUAGUUACGGGAUUCUGACCACAAUAUCACAUUACAUUUAGUUUUGAUGUCUCCUUGGGCUCUUCCUGUCUGUGAUUGUUUCUGACUUGCCUCUUUGAUGAAUUCACAAUAUUGAGUGGUACUGAUGAGGCAUUUUCUACAAGGUCCUUCUAUUGGAAUUUGUCAGGUAGGUGUGCCAGUGUGUGUAUGCAUGCAUGUGUGUGCUUUCAUGUUUAACUAGGGUUAAGGGCUUUUGGGGGAAUACCUCAAAAGUAAAAUGUCGCUUUCAUAGCAUCAUAUCGGGGUACAUGAUUUAUCACUGUUGGUGUUGGCAGUGAUCCCUGGCUGAGAUGGUGUUUCUCAAGCGUCUCCACUGUAGAGUGACUCUUUUUUCCCCUUUGCAUACUAUACUGUAUGAAAGGAACUCACCGUGCACAGCCCACAUUUUCUUGGUGGGGAGGAGUUAGGUAUGAGCUCCUUCUUCAAGGGUAGAAUAUUUACAUAAAUUAUUUGAAAUUCCUUCAUAGGAAAAUGUUGUCUCUUUUCCAACAUUUAAUUGUGUAUUCAACAAUUCAUUUAUAUCAGUAUGGACCCAUGAAUAUCUAGUAUAUGCUUUGAGUUAUAAUACAAGAUGUUUUUAUUUAGCUGGUCAAUAUUUCUUUUUUAAAUGAUUGCAGCUUUGGCCACAGGGAGCUCUUUCACUUAGCCCCUGUCUCCCUUUCACAUAUUUCCAUCAAUGUACGUUUUUGAGCACAUUCUUACUUUAUAGUACUAUAAGAUGUAUGUUCCUCUUGUAUAUUUCCUGUCCCAUCCUAGGAUCAUCCAUUUCUCUCAGGAGCCCUAGCUUCUUCUACUGGAGAAUAUUACAAACCAAGAUCUGGGAACUGGGUUUGUGCUUUGUUGCCCAGUGUUGUAUCUUUUAGGUUCUUGUAGCUGACGGAAAGGAAAUACACAUGUGUAUACUAGCCCCUACAUCCAUAUAACUAUAAAUAUUUCUGCAUGUAACCAUCUGCAUCUGCAUUAAGUUCAACAUGAAUUUCUCAGGGUGUCUCCAACUGUAAUCAAUUCACAUGUGGAUUGUUUCACCUCUUCCUCUGCUUAUCUCUAAAGUCCCGCUCUCAGCCAUUUGAUUAGUUUAAUUGUUCUAUGUUAGAAUACACAUUGGCAGUAUCAGAAUGGUUAAUGUGAAACACAUACUUUUUUUUUUUUUGAGACAGAGUCUCGCUCUGUCACCCAGACUGGAGUGCAGUGGCACAAUCUCAGCUCACUGCAACCUCUGCCUCCUGUUAGAGACAAACUGCCCCAAAAUAACUUCUUGCUACUGCCGACACUUCCCCCAACACUCUCCGUGCUGCCCACCCCUCCCCAUUAUGCUCUGCAACUCUUUUCUGUGCCACUUACUCUUCCUCCUGAGCCCCUUUACAUUUCUAAGCCCUUAUCUAGGCACCAUGGUGAAGCCAGCAGACUUCAUUUAUCAGAACUUGCUGCAAUAAGCAAACCCCAAUUACAAACCAUCCAGACUGCACAGGGGAAGGUUGUGGGAAGCAUAAACAAACUUUAGCUACAUCCUCCUAUAAGUUCCUUCAUCUAGCUGCUACCAAAAAUGUCACAAGGUGACAUACGGCAAAGUUAACCAACAAACGACCCCAGGGUCUCUCUCCCCCAUAUAAACCCCUCAUUUUGUAAGCUCAGGGCUGCAUCCUUUGACUGUAGUGGAGCAGCUGGCAGGUUCAAUAAACUUAUUCACCUGACUUUGGGUCUAUUAUUCCUUUCUCUCAGCUGACCUUACACCUCCUGGGUUCAAGUGAUUCUCCUGCCUCAACCUCCCGAGUAGCUGGGACUACAUAUGCAUGCCACUGAGAGGUGAAGCCAGCUGGACUUCCUGGGUUGAGUGGGGACUUGGAGAGCUUUUAUGUCUUACAAGAGAAUUGUAAAAGGCACCAAUCAGUGCUCUGUAAAAUGCACCAAUCAGCAGGAUCCUAAAAGUAGUCAAUCAGGGAGGAUUGAAAAAAGGGCACUCUGAUAGGACAAAAACGGAACAUGGAGGGGAAAAAUAAGGGAAUAAAAGCUGGUCACCCCAGCCAGCAGUGGUAACCCGUUCGGGUCCCCUUCCACACUGUGGAAGCUUUGUUCCUUCGCUCUUCACAAUAAACCUUGCUACUCCUCACUGUUUGGGUCCGUGCCAUCUUUAAGGGCUAUAGCACUCACCACAAAGGUCCGCGGCUUCUUUCUUAAAGUCAGUGAGACCACAAACCCACCAGAAGGAACCAACUCCGGACACAUCCUGGGGGCUCAUCUGGGAUAUCGCCAUGCAGU
rnacentral:lncRNA from 10 species